rnacentral:rRNA from 1 species
UGAAGCCUACGGGGCGCAGCAGUGAGGAAUAUUGGUCAAUGGGCGGAAGCCUGAACCAGCCAAGUCGCGUGAGGGAAUAAGGCCCUACGGGUCGUAAACCUCUUUUGCCGGGGAGCAAGGGCCGGGACGCGUCCCGGCCCGGAGAGUACCCGGAGAAAAAGCAUCGGCUAACUCCGUGCCAGCAGCCGCGGUAAUACGGAGGAUGCGAGCGUUAUCCGGAUUUAUUGGGUUUAAAGGGUGCGUAGGCGGGCUUUUAAGUCAGCGGUCAAAAUUCG